AGUUGUCUGCGGUGUACGAGAGACACGUAUUGUGUGGACCGAACAAUUAUUCUUAUCUUGGGAUCCUAUGAUCGAGUAACUAUGACAAGCCUUUUACACUUGGACGUCAGAAACUACUUGUGGGGAGCCCACCUGUAUAUACAUACAGGUUCAAGACAUAUGUGUUAAGAAACGGCACUACCGGAUAACUU
rnacentral:other from 1 species